rnacentral:rRNA from 1 species
UAUGUAGGGUGCGAGCGUUAAUCGGAAUUACUGGGCGUAAAGCGUGCGUAGGCGGUUGGCAAAGUCAGCUGUGAAAGCCCCGGGCUCAACCUGGGAAUGGCGGUUGAAACUAGUCGACUCGAAUCUGGCAGAGGGGGGUGGAAUUCCACGUGUAGCAGUGAAAUGCGUAGAGAUGUGGAGGAACACCGAUGGCGAAGGCAGCCCCCUGGGCUGAGAUUGACGCUCAGGCACGAAAGCGUGGGGAGCAAACAGG